GCCGCAGGCCGCCUUAUCGCCCAGUGCGUUGAUUUAUUGACGCGUGGGGAGGAAAGUCCGGACACCACAGGGAAGCAUAGCGGCUAACGGCCGUCGUUCGCCUUUGGCGAAAAGGACCAGUGCAACAGAAAGGAUGUACAGGUAAUGCUGUAGUGAAAUCAGGUAAACUCUAUGCGGUGAAAUGCCACGUAUACCAGCGACUAAGGGUGCCCGCCCGAUGCUGGAGGGUAGGCAGAUGGAAUGUUCGGGUAACCGUGCGUCUAGAUAAAUGAUAAGGGAUAGCUUUCGCUAUUACAGAAUCCGGCUUAUAGGCCUGCUUAUUUU
rnacentral:RNase_P_RNA from 1 species